ACCUCGGUUGGGAUGCUGCUGAAUUGAACCCUCAUGAAUAGAUGAGAUAGAGAUGACAAGGAAAUUGUGAAGAUUACUAUACUUUUUAAUCUAAUAGCUGCCACCAUUUUCUGCAAAUUGCAUAUUAAAGAAAGUUGUGUGAUAUUAUCAUUUGUUUGAUUGUUUUAACAGAGCUACCUCUCUGCAGUAUGGUGAAGAACAGGUACAGCACUUUCGAGUGAAGGAUGUGUUGAUCUUUCCAUCCACGGGAAAGCAGGUAAUCAUAGCUCCAUUUCCCCUGCCACAUGCUUCCUGCUGUUGAUAUUGUGAUCAGACGCCGUGGAGGUUUGCUGCUUCUUCUCUUCAUUAAAACAAAAAGUCUUGAGAUGGAAAGGAACUGUGUGAAGAAAUAUACUUUCUAGAGACACUAAUAGAUCACUCCAAGUUUUCCUUUCCAUGAAAAAGAAAAUUGUGUGAAAAGAGAAACUGUUCAGAUUCAGAAGAGUGUUCGAAAAUGGAUAUCUGCAGAAAUCUGAAAGAUGAAAAGGAGAAUCUGCUUACCAAGGAGAUAUCAUUUCUCUUUGAAGAAGCUUUGAUUUUGAAUGCUUGAGUUGCAAAUUUGGGUGCAGCAGCCUUAUUGAAUGAACUUGAAAUGGAGUUGACAUUUCCAGCUGCUACAAGGUGCCCAGCUUCUGCCAUUUCUCCGUAAGAGACGAUAAUGCGUGGAGAAAGCAGGAAGUUGGAAUUGGAACCUUAUCUGCUCAAAAUAUAAGGCCCCAAUUCCUUCUUGGAAACGUCUUCAUUUUGAUCUGAGUUUAGCUAUUUAUCUCAAUACCUCUUUGGCUGCUGUAAAUUUUAUGGUCCAUAAUUUGUGUGCCAACUCUUCCUAAUUUUGCAUUUUUACAAUAUUAUACAGAUUUUCUUUUAAGA